CUAUUUUGGCAGAUUAGUGCUUUAAAUUUAGAAUUUAAUUAUGUGUUAUUAAAUACAAAUAGUAC
rnacentral:tRNA from 1 species